CAGUGGCGGGGUGUAGGCGACGCUUCGAGAAGUCAUUCCAACACCGUGGUGGACGUCACCCGUCUGCAUGUCUUCGUUUCGUCAGCGUCCCUAAGGAAAAAGAAAAGGAGUCGGACCAAACAGAAAAGAAAAGCAAGAGAGUCGGGAGAAGGCGAAAUGUCAUGCACAUUGAGGUUCCCCGGGACAGAAAGAUUUCAACACCGAAAGUAACUGCACUGAGCUUUUGAUUGACAUUGACAAAGACAGAAAAUGACCACUGCUUUCCGUCGGUCACUAACAAUGCCACGCAAACUCUGAAGACAAUGUAAAAAAGAUGAUAUUUUUUUGUGAAAUUAUAC